UAUCCGUUGGUGAACCAGCGGAGGGAUCAUUACUGGACUCGCAAGACUCCUACAACCCUGUGAACUUAACUAUAAGCACGUUGCUUCGGCGGGUGUCUCGGAGGGGGUUCUCCCUCCCCGAGACGCUAAACCCGCCGGCAGCCUACUAUACUCUGUCUCUUUGCGUUGGCAUCUCGAGUACAAUCAAACAAGUUAAAACUUUCAACAACGGAUCUCUUGGUUCUG
rnacentral:misc_RNA from 1 species